UACGUAUGGUGCAAACGUUAUCCGGAUUUACUGGGUGUAAAGGGGGCGCAGACGGCGAUGCAAGCCAGGAGUGAAAGCCCGGGGCCCAACCCCGGGACUGCUCUUGGAACUGCGUGGCUGGAGUGCAGGAGGGGCAGGCGGAAUUCCUGGUGUAGCGGUGAGAUGCGUAGAUAUCAGGAGGAACACCGGUGGCGAAGGCGGCCUGCUGGACUGCAACUGACGUUGAGGCCCGAAAGCGUGGGGAGCAAACAGG
rnacentral:rRNA from 1 species